UUUUGUCAAUCCGCCAUCGAUGUGUGAUCGUGCGAUCGGGUGAGGGGAGACGGAAAAGGUUAAUCCGUUCGUGUCAAUGUUUUAUUUUAAUACACGCUCGUCAGAGUGAGCUGCCGCCGCAAGGAGAGAGAGAGGGGGGCCGGGGAGGAUAGAGCGCUAACGCCUCCGCCGUCGUCGUUGCUGUGGCCUCCUUACUGGUCCUCCGCUGCCGAUGGAGAGAGCGAGUACCUCACGAAGGGAAAGGACGAGAUUACGCCGUCGCUGGGCCUCCGCUACACCAGCCACGUAGCUAGACUUCGCUCGAGCCGCUACUUAUGCCGGAAGAGGCCGCAGGAGAGGUGGAAACAGCCAUAAGAGUAGCCAUUUACUACUUAGCCUUAAGACGGUGCUUUAAAUCUUCAGGUUGUUCUACAAAGGUUCCCUGAACCUCUGCUCCCUUACUAUGUCUGUUCUUUUACCGUUACAGACAUGGGUGCCGCAGGAGUGGUUACCACAAGGCACUGAGGCUCAAGCGGAACUACAUGAGUCCAUGGAGAGUCGGGUACUUCUUAGAUGAACAACGAUGAACGAUUAUACUAAUUCCGAACACACAAAAGGACUUAAACAAGUCUCCCGUUUAAUAGCUUCAACGAUCUACAGGCUAAGCUAGACAAAAGUAACGCGUAUUUUUAACAAAGAAGUUAAUCGUUUAUAAAGUUAAAAUACAGAGACAAAAUAAGAACUUAGACGUUCCUUGAGUUUCUAUCAACAUGUAAAUGAUUGUACGUAAGAUCAGGUAUUUAACAAACCCGUUAUGUGUGUUUUUCUACAUGUACAAACCCCAAGUUUAAAAUCAAAGAAAACUCCGAAUACUUAAUUACGACUUAAAACGUCAAUUCCUUAUCGAACGAGAGAGAUGCGUUUUCUUUUCCUUCAACGAUCGACAUGAUACUUGUACAUAACUCUAGAAGGCCGUUACGAUCCGAAAACUCAAAAGGGCAAAUUUAAAUCCCACGUUAAGAACGAAGACCAGUAGUAAUCUUAAUGAAUCACAAUUAAAGAAAAACUGGUUGCUUAGGGAUACCAUUAAAAGACAAUUAGUAUUUGAUCUACCAUGUUUGUUUGUUCCUCGUUUCUGAGUUAAUCCAAUGUGAUCCUCGGUGCUUUUGAAUGGAUUUUUGAUGUCGUGAUUUCGACCAGGUCACUCCUCGAGCCACGGAUAUCUUUGGUUUUCUCUUCUCGUUCUGUCUCUGGUUAAUGAAUCACAAUUAUCAGAAUAGAACAUAUAUGUAGUACGAUAAGAGACAAGUCGAAUGACGUACCGGUUAUAUUAAUAAGUCAUCCGAUAUACUCAUUAAAUUAAAAGAACAAAACACGUGAAACCUCGUUGAGCACCAAUGAUCGUCUAAGCUGAAUUCUUAAUAAAGUUAACGUUACUCCAUGUCACUGGGAGAAAGACCGACAUAUAGAAGCGACAAAGCCAACUUGACCGUAUUUGGAUUAAGCAUUACAACUACACAAAGGAAAGCGAAAAGGAAAAAGAUCCUUCGGUACUGUAAAUGAACCACGGUCAGUAAUCAAUUAGUUAGAGUUACAAGGGUAUUAUCUCCUAACCAUAACUAAACGUAACCGAAUUGAUAGCUCCUGUUCACAAAGUGAAAGUGGGAUUUUGACCAACUAAACGAGGAAAGUUCCUCCGGAUGUAAUACGAUUUACAGAUAUACUCUAUCUCUUCAUCAGCGUUAGUCAAUUGUAUAAAUAAGAAGUUGGUAUAUAAGUCUUUAAGAAUUGUACAUUAUGUAGUGUAUAAAUAGACAUACAUCGACUACGAAGAAACGAAUUUAGAAUACAAACAAUUUACAACCGUCUGUCUUAGUAAUCGAUGUAUGUCUAUUUACAUGCUACAUAAGGUACAAUCCUAAAAGACUUCGAGCUAACGGUGAUGAAGAGAUCGAGUAUACACUAUUACACUAGUACGUUAACAGUACCCAAAUUGACUUAGAACAAUAGUUAACAGUACAUACUGUCAUGCUGUGUAAACAGAACAUGUCCUCACGUCAAGACAUACACUAGUCUAAAAGAAUCCGACAUAACAACUGCCAGUACAGACGAACAACAACAGUACCGUUCUUUAUAAAAAUCUUAUAAGACGUAACUACUAAAAAUAGUAAUUAGUUUACGAUGUAUUUAACAAAUAACAAGAGUCGUUAUGACGGCGACUAAAGCCGCUAGUAGUGACAACUCAGAGACAAGCACUGUGUCUCAGAUAGUGGUUUCGGGCCGCCGAGGUUUCGUCGUGGCCUUCUCUGGAACGUAUCAGUUUUUCUGUUCGUCACUAGCUGGUCUGUCUGAUCUCGAACAUGAAGUACCUCCAGUACCCGUGUGACCGCCGAUCUAUGGAAUUAAUGGCAACAUAGUUCAUCGUCAAACGCCGAUACCGGUCCCGGUAGAAGACACGUUCGAUAAAGUUCAUGAAUGACAUCAACUUUACUGCUAAUAUACACCAAAGUACCGACGGUUGACAUUUACGUAACGGGUGUACAUGAGACACAAGACUCAGGUACCGUAACUCAAGAAUACGGUGAAUUAACAUUGAGCGUGUACCAAUCAGUCCCAUAGAGUUUAAUAGUCGUCGGGUAGAGCGACAAGAGAAAAAAUUAGACUUUUAAUAAAGAAGGUAAUUUGACUUCUACGUUGUCUUACUCG
rnacentral:rRNA from 1 species